rnacentral:tRNA from 1 species
GGGGAUGUGGCUCAGUUGGUAGAGUGCUUGCCUAGCAUGCACAAGGCCCUGGGUUCAAUCCCCAGCAUCACCA